CCGUAGCUCAGUUGGAUAGAGUGACGGACUUCGAAUCCGAAGGUCGUAGGUUCGACUCCUACCG
rnacentral:tRNA from 1 species